rnacentral:rRNA from 1 species
GACGAACGCUGGCGGCGUGCCUAAUACAUGCAAGUAGAACGCUGAAGGAGGAGCUUGCUUCUCUGGAUGAGUUGCGAACGGGUGAGUAACGCGUAGGUAACCUGCCUGGUAGCGGGGGAUAACUAUUGGAAACGAUAGCUAAUACCGCAUAAGAGUAGAUGUUGCAUGACAUUUGCUUAAAAGGUGCAAUUGCAUCACUACCAGAUGGACCUGCGUUGUAUUAGCUAGUUGGUGGGGUAACGGCUCACCAAGGCGACGAUACAUAGCCGACCUGAGAGGGUGAUCGGGCACAAUGGGAAUGGGAAAAGGGCCAGAAUUCUACGGGGGGCAGCAGGAGGGGAACUUUGGAAAUGGACGGAAGUCUGAACGAGGAAAGCCGGGUGAGUGAAGAAGGUUUUCGGAUCGUAAAGCUCUGUUGUAAGAGGAGAAAGAGUGUGAGAGUGGAAAGUUCACACUGUGACGGUAUCUUACCAGAAAGGGACGGCUAACUACGUG